rnacentral:tRNA from 2 species
GGUCGGGUAGCGUAGUUGGUUAUUGCGCACGACUGUUAAUCGUGAGGUCGAGGGUUCGAGUCCCUCCCUGACCG